UACGUAGGGCGCAAGCGUUGUCCGGAAUCACUGGGCGUAAAGGGCGCGUAGGCGGCCUGAUAAGUAGGGGGUGAAAUCCUGCGGCUUAACCGCAGGGCUGCCUUCUAAACUGUCGGGCUAGAGCACGGUAGAGGCAGAUGGAAUUCCCGGUGUAGCGGUGGAAUGCGUAGAGAUCGGGAAGAACAUCAGUGGCGAAGGCGGUCUGCUGGGCCGUUGCUGACGCUGAGGCGCGACAGCGUGGGGAGCAAACAGG
rnacentral:rRNA from 1 species